GGCUCAGGAUGAACGCUAGCUACAGGCUUAACACAUGCAAGUCGAGGGGCAGCAUGUUGGUUGCUUGCAACCAAUGAUGGCGACCGGCGCACGGGUGAGUAACGCGUAUCCAACCUUCCCCUUAGUAGAGGAUAGCCCGGCGAAAGUCGGAUUAAUACUCUAUGUUCUUCAAUGCGGACAUCUAAGUUGAAGCAAAGAUUUAUCGCUAAGGGAUGGGGAUGCGUCUGAUUAGGUUGCAGGCGGGGUAACGGCCCACCUGGCCUACGAUCAGUAGGGGUUCUGAGAGGAAGGUCCCCCACACUGGUACUGAGACACGGACCAGACUCCUACGGGAGGCAGCAGUGAGGAAUAUUGGUCAAUGGGCGCGAGCCUGAACCAGCCAAGUAGCGUGCCAGGACGACUGCCCUAUGGGUUGUAAACUGCUUUUAUCAGGGAAUAAAGUGAGGCACGCGUGCCUUUUUGUAUGUACCUGGUGAAUAAGGACCGGCUAAUUCCGUGCCAGCCGCCGC
rnacentral:rRNA from 1 species